rnacentral:rRNA from 1 species
AGCACCACAACAGGUGGAGCCUGCGGUUUAAUCGGACUCAACGCCGGGAAACUCACCAGAUAAGACAGCUGAAUGAUAGUCGGGCUGAAGACUCUACUUUGACUAGCUGAGAGGAGGUGCAUGGCCGUCGUCAGUUCGUACUGUGAAGCAUCCUGUUAAGUCAGGCAACGAGCGAGACCCACGCCAACAGUUGCCAGCUCGUCCUCCGGGAUGGUGGGGACACUGUUGGGACCGCCUCUGCUAAAGAGGAGGAAGGAAUGGGCAACGGUAGGUCAGUAUGCCCCGAAUAUCCCGGGCUACACGCGAGCUACAAUGGUUGGUACAAUGGGUAUCUACCCCGAAAGGGGACGGGAAUCUCCUAAAACCAAUCUUAGUUCGGAUUGAGGGCUGCAACUCGCCCUCAUGAAGCUGGAAUCCGUAGUAAUCGCGUUUCAACAGAACGCGGUGAAUACGUCCCUGCUCCUU